rnacentral:lncRNA from 1 species
AAAUAUAUGGAAGGGUUAUUUCGGCGGGGCUAGGGGGGAAAUUUGGGCAGGGCAAGCGGGAAAAAUUUGGCUAGGGAGAAGGAGGAGGUGUUUUGUUAUAUCUUGACACAUUAUGUUUCAUGCGUGUUUAAUUGGAACAUUUGAGCAAUGUGUUCAAUAUUGAAAUCACUAUGACAUUGCUUCAUCUGUACAUGUAUAUAUUCACGUGGUGAUCUACAUGGUGAUAGUGUG